rnacentral:lncRNA from 1 species
UUCACAGCGAGCCCUGCUGGCACUGGGGGCCUGCAUUCCAGUUUUCCUCCCCAGCUGUGGGAUGCUGUUGGCGCCUUGGUGCCAGCCGCUGAGGUGAGCAGGUGGGUGAGGGGCUCCGUGAAGCUCUGGCAUCUGGUGUCCGGCCCAGGACUUGGGGGUGCUGGCCUCGCCGCCUGGCCGGGUCAUACAUAAGGGGUCGGUCAGCUCUGCCCCAGGCCAGGAUGCUGCUGGGCCCACAGCCGCCCCAGGACCCCCUCAGCCCAGGUGCCCUCCCUCAGUGCUCAGUUCCGGGGAUGACUGUGUCCCCCACCCCGUCACGCUGCUCAGCGAGCACCCUGUAAUCCCAUAUGGUAACUCAUGAAUCUACCCACUAAGAAACCACAACAUGUGAUUCCUCGAGGGAGGCUGGGGGGUAGUCGCGGAGUCGUGGCUGGGCCCAGCCGCGGACUCAGGUCUGUGAUGGGCUAACCUGUGCCCCCACAUCCGCAGGUGGGCGGCCUGACCCUAGACUCAGAGCGUGACUUCUUUGGAGACAGGGUCAUUGAAGGUGUGUGUGACGAUGAGGCCACGGGGUCACCCCUGACCAGUGUGACCAGUGUCCUUAUAAAAGGGGCGUGGACCCAGGCGGGCCUAGAGGGAUGGUGGCACAGAGGCAGGAGAAAAUGCCCACCAAAGCCCAGGAGGAGGCCUGGGACAGGCCCUUCCCGGCGCCUUCAGAGGGAGCCUGGCCCUGCCAGAUGCCUGGUCUCACGUCGGCCUCCAGGACUGCGAGACCUUCCUGCUGUGUGGGUGCCCAGUGCCAGCACUUGCUAAGGGUCCCCAGCCCCAGGAAAGCAGUGCCGUCCCCUGAGCCAAGUGGACCUCUCUCUGCUUCUGUGGCUUCUCUAUAUUUAGUUAUCAUGUUUCAAAGGCUUAUCAAAUCCCUGGGCAUAAAACGUUUUACGAAUCUGUCUAAAUAACGUUCCAAGGUGUCUCAUACUCGACGGAAUCUUGGACGGUGCUGCCCCUUGCAGGUGGCUGGGACUGCCUGGGUACAGCCUCUCCUUGGUUUUCAGCUUGGCUCUGCCUUCACCCCACAUGGGGUUCCGUCUGGCCCUAGCGGGGAGGGUGCUUGGCUCGGGCAGUGGGCUGGGCGGCCCCUGGCCCAGGACGGCUCUGGAGAAUAAGGAGGCCACCACAGGCCGGUAGGCCUGAGACCUCUGCCCCUUCUGAGGCCGCGGGGUUGAGCAGCUGAGCAGCUGACUCUCCCAUGGUCAGUGAGGGCUCAGCAUUUUCUCUUCUGGUUGAAAUAGAAACUGGGAAGUUGGAGGCCAAGAUUGAGGGGCAGGCGGAGGUGGUUCUCCUGCCAAGCUUCCUAAACGGCAGAAGCAGCAGAAGCAGCUAGGGUUAGUGUUGGCUUCUCUCUCUCUCUCUCUCUCUCUCUCUCUCUCUCUCUCUGUGUCUCUCUGUCUCUCUCUGUCUCUCUCUCUCUGUGUCUCUCUCUCUCUGUCUCUGUCUCUCUGUCUCUCGGUCUCUCUGUCUCUGUCUCUCUGUCUCUGUCUCUCUCUCUCUGUCUCUCUCUCUCUCUCUCUCAUUUAUUUCUAGAGCAUUUACAAAUUAAUUUUCCUGGUCUAAACCGGGAGGGGCUGCCAUGAUAAAAUGAAGCUGUUUGGUGUUCCAUGUCGAUCUCCCUGAGACAAUGCACUCCUGAGCCUGCUGGGCCCUGCCUCACAGCUGAGUCCUGGUCAGGGCCCUGCCCCUUCUUCCUCUCCCUUGGCCCUGGUUCCACAGAGACCUAUUUCUCCAGGGCAUCCAGGAAGCACCUACGGUGAUGGGGGAUUGCAUUUCAGCAGCAAUCCAUGUGUGAACAUUAAAACGAUCUCCUUAAAUAUUCAUGGUGACCAUGACCUCAUCUGGCUGCCUCGGGCCAGGGCUGGGUGCAGGUCAGGGAAGGGGGCUCAGGCCCUGAGACCCCAGCCUGGUCCCCAGCAAUACAGCUCCCCUCUGUCCUCUCCUCUCUGAGUCAACCCCUCCUGAGAGCUCCGAUGUCUCCUCUCUGGGGUGGCAGAGGUGGGGGCUGCUUUCCAAGCAAAGAAAUGCUCUGGGGCCACGUGGGAAUAAAUAUUUCAUGGGAGAGCAGACCUAGCCAGUAAAAAAUUAAGCAGCUUUACAUCAUCAGAGAGAGAAAGAAAGGGUUGCCUCAUGUUAUGAGUCUGCUGGUGUCCUUAGGACAGAGACAGGGAGACUGAGGUUUUGGGGUAAAUUAUUUAGGGUGUUGUAGGCUGGUCUAGGAAUGUUAAGCUGAAAUGAGACCGGCCCUGGAAGACGACAGGGGGAGCUGGGGUAAGAAGUGCUGCCUUAUGGAAGGCGUGGCGUGCAGAGACGCUGGCCACGAGGAACCCUUUCCCCGUGCACCUGCGCAGUAGCGCCUGCCUCGCGGGAGGCCCCACAGAUGUUGUUGAAUAAAGGGGCAGUGAGUCAGUGAGGCCAUUUCAGCCAUUUUUCUGUUGCCGCCUCACUCUGGAUUUAUGAAAGUACUUGCUAAUCGACGAUCGUCUUCGCCCGGCAUGCUGCAAAUUCACGUUUAUAUGCCCCCUGCCUCCCCCAAAUCAGCUACGGCAGAGUCAGGGGCAGGGACGGGUGGGCAUGGCCGGGCAGCUGCUCGGCUGCGUCACGCCGGGGGUGGCUGGAGCUGAUUCGGAAGCAGUGAAAUGUGGGCCCGCGUGGCUUCCCUGGAAAGAAAACAGGUCCUUGCCUAGAAAUUCAGUGGGUGACCUAAGAUGAUUGAGGGCUGUGUCCAUGUAAAUUUUUCAGUAAGGUGAGGGGCCAGUUUGUCAGUAAACUCCCUGGUGCUGUAAUUAGGGGGCUAUGUUCAGGAACUGGCUUCCUAAUGUGCAUUGAGGGCAGUGCUGACGCAGCCCAUGUACAUGCUAAAUACACGUGGGAGUGUUUGUGAAGAGACAGGCCUGCACAACACAGGGGACCUGACACUGAGCAUCCAUGUGGCCCUUUCUGGUACCCAGAACUGUGCACCCCCCUGUGCAGCAUCUCACAGGACUAAACAGACAGUAACACAACCCCGAACAGACAGUAAAAACCCGGAACAGAGAGGAACAACCCUGAACAGACAGUAACAACCCGGAACAGAGAGGAAGAACCCCAAACAGGCAGUAACAACCCCCAACAGGCAGUAACAACCCCGAACAGAGAGUAACAACCCUGAACAGAGAGGAACAACCCCGAACUGAGAGGAACAACCCUGAACAGACACUAACAACCCAGAACCAGGCAGUUACAAGCCUGAACAGACAGUAACAACCGGGAACAGACAGUAACAACCCUGAACAGACAGUAAAAACCCGGAACAGAGAGGAAGAACCCCAAACAGGCAGUAACAACCCCCAACAGGCAGUAACAACCCCGAACAGAGAGGAACAAUCCCAAACAGGCAGUAACAACCCCGAACAGAGAGGAACAACCCCGAACUGAGAGGAACAACCCCAAACAGGCAGGAACAACCCUGAACAGACACUAACAACCCAGAACCAGGCAGUUACAAGCCUGAACAGACAGUAACAACCGGGAACAGACAGUAACAACCCUGAACAGACAGUAAAAACCCGGAACAGAGAGGAAGAACCCCAAACAGGCAGUAACAACCCCCAACAGGCAGUAACAACCCCAAACAGAGAGGAACAAUCCCAAACAGGCAGUAACAACCCCGAACAGAGAGGAAGAAUCCCAAACAGGCAGUAACAACCCUGAACAGACAGUAAAAACCCCGGAACAGGGAGGAACAACCCCAAACAGGCAGGAACAACCCCAAACAGGCAGUAACAACCCUGAACAGAGAGUAACAACCCCGAACAGACAGUAACAACCCCGAACAGGCAGUAACAACCCCAAACAGAGAGGAACAACCCUGAACAGACAGUAACAACCCUGAACAGACAGUAAAACCCCAGAACAGAGAGGAACGAACCCAAACAGGCAGGAACAACCCUGAACAGGCAGUAACAACCCUGAACAGAGAGUAACAACCCUGAACAGACAGUAACAACCCAGAACAGGGAGGAACAACCCGGAACAGAGAGGAACAACCCCAAACAGGCAGGAACAACCCCAAACAGGCAGUAACAACCCCGAACAGAGAGUAACAACCCCGAACAGACAGUAACAACCACGAACAGGCAGUAACAACCCCGAACAGAGAGGAACAACCCUGAACAGGCAGUAACAACCCUGAACAGACAGUAAAACCCCAGAACAGAGAGGAACAACCCCAAACAGGCAGGAACAACCCUGAACAGGCAGUAACAACCCCGAACAGGCAGUAACAACCCCGAACAGAGAGGAACAACCCCGAACAGGCAGUAACAACCCCGAACAGAAAGGAACAACCCCAAAAAGAGAGGAACAACACCAAACAGAGAGGAACAACCCCGAACAGGCAGGAACAAUCCCGAACAGGCAGGAACAUCCCGAACAGUCAGGAACAACCCCAAACAGAGAGGAACAACCCUGAACAGGCAGGAACAACCCCGAACAGGCAGGAACAACCCCAAACAGGCAGGAACAACCCCAAACAGAGAGUAACAACCCCGAACAGGCAGUAACAACCCCAAACAGAGAGGAACAACCCCAAACAGAGAGGAACAACCCCGAACAGACAGUAACAACCCGGAACAGAGAGUAACAACCCAAAACAGGCAGUAACAAUCCCGAACAGGCAGUAACAACCCCGAACAGACAGUAACAGCCCUGAACAGAGUGUAACAACCCCGAACAGAGAGGAACAACACCGAACAGGCAGUAACAACCCCGAACAGAGAGUAACAACCCCGAACAGAGAGGAACAACCCCAAAUAGUCAGUAACAAUCCCGAACAGGCAGUAACAACUCCGAACAGAGAGUAACAACCCCGAACAGAAAGUAACAACCCCGAACAGAGAGUAACAACCCCGAACAGGCAGUAACAAUCCGGAACAGAGAGUAACAACCUGGAACAGGCAGUAACAACUCGGAACAGGCAGUAACAGCCCUGAACAGGCAGUAACAACCCGGAACAGAGAGUAACAACCCUGAGCAGGCAGUAACAACCCGGAACAGGCAGUAACAACCCCAGCUAAACCAAUAGAACCGGCCUGGCAGCCACUCCUGUUCCAGUGCAGCACUCCACCAUGCAGAGGGGUCGGAGAAGCAGUUGUAGGUCACAGCAAGGAGUGGGCCGUGGGGAUCAUGGCCAGGUCGUGAAAUCCAAGUGGCACCCGCCAUGGCACCAGCCAGAACAGGUCCCCUCCUUUCCAAAGGGCAGAGCUGGGGCUGGCCCUGGAGAUGCUGGGGUCAGCAAGGGCUGGGGCUGCGCUCCCUCCUGGGUCUGUGUCAAAAGCAGCCAGCACCGAAGCCUGUCCACAUCGGCCAGGCCCUGUGCAAGCCGCGCUUCCCAGCAGACGGCACGGAAUUGCUGGUGAGAGUGGACGCUGGGCCGGAACAGAGCGGCGCUUCCUG